GUAUGAAUGGCCACACGAGGGCUUUACUGUCUCUUACUUCCAAUCCGUGAAAUUGACCUUCCCGUGAAGAGGCGGGAAUAUGACAAUAAGACGAGAAGACCCUAUGGAGCUUUAAUUAACCGACCCAAAGAGAUCUUGAUAAUCAACCGACAGGGAUAACAUACCUCUACCAUGGGCCGACAAUUUAGGUUGGGGUGACCUCGGAGAAUAAAACAACCUCCGAGUGAUUUAAAUCUAGACUAACUAGUCGAAAGUACUACAUCACUUUUUGAUCCAAAAACUUGAUCAACGGAACAAGUUACCCUAGGGAUAACAGCGCAAUCCUAUUUUAGAGUCCAUAUCGACAAUAGGGUUUACGACCUCCAUGUUGGA
rnacentral:rRNA from 1 species